AGCGAACGCUGGCGGCAGGCCUAACACAUGCAAGUCGAACGAACCCUUCGGGGUUAGUGGCGGACGGGUGAGUAACACGUGGGAACGUGCCUUUAGGUUCGGAAUGACUCAGGGAAACUUGUGCUAAUACCGAAUGUGCCCUUCGGGGGAAAGAUUUACCGCCUUUAGAGCGGCCCGCGUCUGAUUAGCUAGUUGGUGAGGUGAUGGCUCACCAAGGCUACGAUCAGUAGCUGGUCUGAGAGGAUGACCAGCCACAUUGGGACUGAGACACGGCCCAAACUCCUACGGGAGGCAGCAGUGGGGAAUCUUGCGCAAUGGGCGAAAGCCUGACGCAGCCAUGCCGCGUGGAUGAUGAAGGUCUUAGGAUUGUAAAAUCCUUUCACCGGUGAAGAUAAUGACUGUAGCCGGAGAAGAAGCCCCGGCUAACUUCGUGCCAGCCGCCGCCGUAACAC
rnacentral:rRNA from 1 species